CCAAAUUCAACCUCUGCUAAAGAGAAAAAAGUCACAGGAUUAGACAAACACUCAAGAAUUCACGUUCACAAACUAGACGAGUCCAAACCAAAACCAAGACUCAAUACUUAUGAACUAUCUAGAUAAUUUUUAGAAUUUUAGAUCCUUUUUUAAUCCCCGUGGCUCUUAUUAUACUCCAAUCACACGAAAUUGACAACAAAAAGAAUACAAAUGAACAUGAAAUAUAGCUCUCCGAUUAACAAAAUAUCAGCAGUUACAACCUUGAAUCGAGCGAGUCCGGAACAAAGAAAUUCAGCAGGAUCUUCAAACAGAGACCAUGAGCCACGAUCCGAAACACAACAACGACUCCAAAAAUUCGAACACCACCAGAGUUCAAUCACACUCCAUGCUUAAAUAAAAAAUUGGCAUUCAAGAGAAGACAAUGAACUAUUUUUUGUGUUUUUUUAAUUUUUCUGACUUUUGAAAUAAGAACAAGAACAAGAAAGAGCUAACUUUUUUUUCAAUAAUCUCUUCUCUAUGGAAUCGAAUAGAAAACAAAAGGAAAAAUCCGAAAGCUAAAAACCAACCCUAAUCUUUUAUCUCCCAGAAUUUCUCCAAAGACGCUCCCCCUUGGUUUGAAAACGAGCCCCAAAUAUAUAGAAACUCCGUGCUUACUCUCCAAGCCAACCAAUACGAGAAAUUCUUGAUUUUUACUCUUUUUCGACUAACUUCGUAUAAAAUGGAAGGAUAUGAUUUUAGGAAUUCAAAUCCUACGGCUCCUAUUCUUUCCAAAAUUCGUCUAAUAGAUGGAAGAAAAUCGCUUGAGGGAAUUAGAAUAUUCUCUGUUGUCAGAGUUUGUUAUGGUUGGGUGACAUGGAGGAUGAGGCGAGGGGGACCAUGUGGGCGGGACUGAGGUGGAGUUAGCGUGGCUGGGGAGUGUUGCUACAGCAGUGAAUCUUAGAGAUUGG
rnacentral:lncRNA from 1 species